AGCGAACGCUGGCGGCAGGCUUAACACAUGCAAGUCGAGCGCCCCGCCAGGGGUCGGGCUGACGGGAGGGGACCACGUGGGGACAUACCUUUUGGUUCGUGACCACUAAGGGGAGCUUGAGCGAAUACCGGAUAAGCCCUUACGGGGAAAGCUUUAUCGCCGAAGGAUGGGCCCGCGUGUGAUUAGCUAGUUGGUGUGGUAACGGCGCACCAAGGCGGCUAGUAGUAGCUGGUCUGAGAGGCAGGUCAGCCUCACUGGGACUGAGACGCGGCACAGACUCCUACGGGAGGCAGCAGUGGGGAAUAUUGGAAAAUGGGGGCAAUCCUGAUCCAGCCAUGCUGGGUGAGUGAUGAAGGCCUGAGGGUUGUAAAGCUCGUUUGCCCGGGAAGAUAAUGACGGUACCGGGAGAAUAAGCCCCGGCUAACUUCGUG
rnacentral:rRNA from 1 species